GACGUAGGGCGCGAGCGUUGUCCGGAUUUAUUGGGCGUAAAGAGCUCGUAGGCGGCUUGUCGCGUCGACUGUGAAAAACCCGUGGCUCAACCAUGUGGUCUGCAGUCGAUACGGGCAGGCUAGAAUUCGGUAGGGGAGACUGGAAUUCCUGGUGUAGCGGUGAAAUGCGCAGAUAUCAGGAGGAACACCGGUGGCGAAGGCGGGUCUCUGGGCCGAUAUUGACGCUGAGGAGCGAAAGCGUGGGGAGCGAACAGG
rnacentral:rRNA from 1 species